rnacentral:tRNA from 1 species
GCCCCAAUGGUGGAAUGGUAGACACGCCUGCCUUAGGAGCAGGUGCCUAAAGCGUGUAGGUUCGAAUCCUACUUGGGGUA